UACGAAGGGGGCUAGCGUUGCUCGGAAUCACUGGGCGUAAAGCGCACGUAGGCGGAUUGCUAAGUCAGGGGUGAAAUCCUGGAGCUCAACUCCAGAACUGCCUUUGAUACUGAGAAUCUUGAGUACGGGAGAGGUGAGUGGAACUGCGAGUGUAGAGGUGAAAUUCGUAGAUAUUCGCAAGAACACCAGUGGCGAAGGCGGCUUACUGGUCCGGUUCUGACGCUGAGGCGCGAAAGCGUGGGGAGCAAACAGG
rnacentral:rRNA from 1 species